UUUGGCUAAGAUCAAGUGUAGUAUC
rnacentral:piRNA from 5 species